CGGCCACUCGUCUGCAGCAGCUGGGAGGAGACCCCCUGGCCGUGGAGAAAUGCAUACCCCUGCCUACACGCAGCUCCGAUUCUUCGCCAUUCUGGAGAGGUCUUCACUGGUCCUUCUAACUCCAGGUUGUUUUGGUAGUUAAACUGAUCAUUUGGUACUUGGGGAUCAGAAUAUUGAGUUCAAAUUGCUGCAGAACCAAAGAAAAAAAUGGACAUUCCUCAGAAAUCCUGGGCUCAAGCCUGAUGCCUGCGGAGCUUGUUUUGAUGACAACUAUACACUUUCUACCCUGCUGACAGGCAUCUUGGUCUCCAUCUUUACUUCCAAAGAGGCUGAGAAAGGCACUCCUGAAUACUUUUGGGGCCAAGAACAUUUUCUGCAUUGUUUAAGGGAUGUAAUCUUUUUUUGCCUGACAGCUCUUUUUUUUUUUAUGAUUUCUCUUUUUCUACCUCUUUUCUAAAUUAAAUGGCUAUAUCCUGGAGUAGCUGCCACCAAGUUCCUCAAUUUACGUUUCUUCUCCCACUCUUAACAUCUUAGCAUUUUCUCCUCAUUCUACAGACAGAAGUACAAAUGCCAAAUAAAAACAAUUAGCAAAACACAACCCCUUCUUAGUGGUGUUUAACCUUGACUACGGAUGCAAAAUAUUCCUGUGUUAAAUGUCCCCGAUCUUCUUUCAGGUUAUAAGGAAGGAUUUAAGCCUGAAUGGUGUGUAACAAUGAAUAAAUGAAAAGUGCUUGAUCAAUAUUUGACGAAGGUGCAAUGUGCAUAUCUAUUUUCAUAUUGUUGGAAGUGUAUCUUUAGGAAAUCCUAGAAGCGGGAUUGCUGGGUCAAAAGGUAAGUACAUGGGUAGUUUUCUUAUACUAACUUGUUUGCCAAAUUCCCCACCAAAAGGAUGUACCUGUUUGUAUUUCCACCACCAAAUAAGAAGGUGCCUGCUUCCACAAGGCCUUUUCAACAGAAUGUGUGCCAAUCUGACAGGUGAAAAUUGGUAUCUCAGUAUUACUGUAACUUACAUAUCUCUAUGAAUAAGUUUGAACAUUAUUUCAUAUAUUUGAGUCAUUUUUAUAUCUCUUUUUGCUGAUUAUCUGUUCAUAGCUUUUUCUCAUUUUGUUAUUAGGUUUUUUUUGUCAUUUUUUCCUCAAAUUUUGAGAGGUCUUCAUAUAUUACGGAUACUAGAUCUUUAUUGGUAAUAUGUGUUGCAGAUAUUUUUUCCCAGUUUGUAGUUGUGUUUUGGCUUUUUUUAUGGUGAAUUUUUUGCCAUGCAAAAUUUUGUAUUUUUGCAUAGUCACAUUUAUGAAUCUUUAAUUUUAUUGCCUCUGGAUUUUGAUAAUUUAAUAAUUUUGAUAAUUUCACAUGUUUUCCCUAUACUAAUGUUAAAGAAGAGUUUACCCAUGUUUUAUUCUAAUUGUUGUAUGUCUUUGUUUUUUACUUUUAUUUUCCUCAUGCAUUUGAAGUUUACUCAUAUGCAUGAGUGAAUGUACUCAUUUUCAUGAGUAAAUGUACCAUUCAUCAUGGAUAUAAUUUUUUUUUCCAAGUGGUCUAGCUGUUAUCCCAGAAUCAUUUAUUACAAAAGUCCAUCUUUAUUACAAAUGAUUUGAGAUGCCGUCUUUAUCCAUACUAAUCUCCAUAUGUACUUGGUUUUAUUCUAUGCCACUGGCCUGUCUAUUCAUCUUCCAAUUACCACAUUGUUUUAAUUAUAGAGGCUCUAUAAUAUAUUUUAAUAUUUGAUUGAGCUAGUCCUCUUUACUUUUGUUUCUUUUUGUGUUGUGUUAUCUAUGUUUUUUUUUUUUUUGGCCAUGCCACGCUGCAUGCAGGAUCUUAGUUCCCUGACCAAGGAUUGAGCCUUGGCCCCUUGCAGUUGAAGUGCAGAGUCCUAACCACUGGAUUGCCAGAGAAUUCCUGUUUUAUCUACUCUUGAAUGUUUAUUUUUUCAUAUGAACUUUAAUAAAACUUAACUUUAAUAAAAACUUAUCUAACUCCAAAAAA